ACUCUGGGUCUCUGCAUCUGUUCAGCCUGCAGAAUCAGCUAAGCGGGGCUCACAGGGCCUCACAGAGGCUGAAGCAGCAAACACGGAGCCUGCAUGUGUCUGAGCUUUGCCCUCAGUAUACAUGCUCUGCUUGGUGUACUUGUGGGACUCCCCACAGUGGGAGUCCUGCACCUGGGACCCUUUUCCUCCUACUGGGUUACCUCAACCAGCCUUGAUGUGAAGUUCCCUCAGUGUGACUGUGAAUCAACUUCCUGUUGCCUGUAAGAUGAAGCACCAGCACCGUAUCUGCCUGCACGAUGCCAUGAUCCCUGUGUUGAUGAUAAUAGACUGAACUUCUGAAACUGGAGAGUCUUCCCUAUGCCCAUCUCUGCUCCUGUUACUACAGCUCAGCAACGGAUCAGUGCCUUGGUUUUCACCUUCAUCAAAUGCCUCCAGAUCCAUAGAUGCUUCUGGAGUCCGCACAGAAGCAGGGAAGUUCUGGACCUCGUGACUCAGGAUCUCCUCUUCUAAGUCCACUAGGCAAGAACUGCAGACUUGUUUAUAUCACUUUGCUGGGUACCCCAGCUGAGGCCCCUCAAAGGUCUUUUAAAGUUGCCUGUCUGAUUCGACUCGGAAGCUAUUGGUUGCCUCCAUAGCCUUCAUGCCACUGUUUCACACGGGCACAUCUUGUAUAGCAGUUACAGGUGGUGCUCGCAACUGAACUAUGGUCCUGUGCCUGGACAGCGCAUGCUUCUUGAUGGGUGAGCCAUCCCUCCAGGCCUGCGGAAUCACUGUGAUUUCACAAAGCCUUCAGGCUGGCUUUGAGAAGGAAGGAACGUGAGCUGGUGAAAAAGGAACUCGGAACAGCUUCUCAAGUCUCCAUGGAAUAUCUCCACUGUAGGAACAGAUCUUUGAAUCAGUGUACACUUGGUUUGGACGUGAUGAACCCAGGCUGAACCAUAAAUCCUCUGGUGUAAUCAGGGAACACCUUCGGAUUCCAAUCCUACUCAAAUGAAGUUAGAAAUUUAGCCAAUUGGAUUGUGAAAAUAAGACGCACUUCAAAAACUCCCGUGAACUAAAAUGUCAGCUGAUAAAGAAAAGAGACAAAAUUGAACAGAAACCACCAACACACCACAGUAGCAAUCUCCCUUUCACCGCCUGGGAAGCAAUGAAAGGCACAUGCUCUCUACACUUUGAUUUCCACAGACUGUGAAGAUACUACAGACACAACGGCAAUCUGCCUUUAAAUGUUACCUUUACUUGGUUGACUAGCACUUAGGGUGCUGGAAGUUUCUCUCUGUGUGCUGCCAGGGGCAUAAAAAUAAUCAACAGUCUUACAAAGCUGUGAACUUUGUCAGUUACGGUAACAAACGGCCCGGCAACAGGUGCAACCCUUGCAAGAAUGUUAUAUAUGUAACCAGCUACUUUCUGAUUGGGCUUAAAGCCUACUGGCAUGAUUAGCUAGGCCAGAAACUUUUGGUGUUUGUUCUAGGUCAUAGACCCUUAGGUGAAAAGGUAAUACAAUUACCCUGCUAAAUGGAGAUAGGGAUAAGCUACCUCAUCUCUAUACCUAGAGAUUAGUGCACCUCUCAACACUCAUCUGAGAACUUCCUUUUGCAGCAAGCAGCUCUUAACAUAGAAAGCCACAAUUAAUUAGUUUGCGGAGAAUAAGAGACUAUGGAGUCUUCAUCUCUAAAUAGGACUUUUGUAUCAUAAAUUCCUUUUCCCCAAGGCUCAGGGAUCAUCAUAGAAGAGAAGGUCUUGCAAAGACUGUAGGAACCAGAGAAACAGUAUUUUCUGAGUAUGACAGGGUCAGUGCACACACAAGCUCACAGGAGCUGUGACUGCCUGCAUAAGACCUGCACAAGGUCAACCCAGAUAAAGUCUCAGCAUGGUUGGAGGAAAGACUUACGAGGUCCCAUGCGUAUGUGAGGAGCUAUUGGCAACUGAUGGCUGCUGCGGAGGAAGAAGCAGUUUCUUUAGGGUUAGGACCUCUGGCUGUCCACACUCCAGUAGAUGGUCCCACACCCAUGCAAUGCACAUAGCAUUAAGUGAACUCAGUAUACAGAGAAACAGAAAGCAAAAAAGAUGAAGCUGGGGGGAGUGAUGGGGGAUAGGAGAGGAAUUGGAAGGGAGUAGAUUUAUAAAAAAGGACUUUAAGCAUGUGUGAAAUUAUCAACAAAUAAAAAAUUAUUAAAUAAAAAUUUACCUACACCUUU